UACGUAGGUGGCAAGCGUUGUCCGGAAUUAUUGGGCGUAAAGCGCGCGCAGGCGGUUCUUUUAAGUCUGAUGUGAAAGCCCACGGCUCAACCGUGGAGGGUCAUUGGAAACUGGGGGACUUGAGUGCAGGAGAGAAGAGUGGAAUUCCACGUGUAGCGGUGAAAUGCGUAGAGAUGUGGAGGAACACCAGUGGCGAAGGCGACUCUUGGCUGUAACUGACGCUGAGGCGCGAAGCGUGGGGAGCAAACAGG
rnacentral:rRNA from 1 species